UCAUAAGCUAAGUGUGAGGACUAAAAGUUUAUUAUGGGAAAACUUUAGGAUUAAAACACAAGAGGUUGAAGAGUUUUGGGUUAAACUUUAAUUAUAAAAGUACUGGGGUUUAUUUAAUAAAUUUAUAAAAGAUUGAGGGUUGAAAAAGAACUUACUUUUAUGUGAGGACCUUUUCGUGAUUAUGUGCUUAUCAAGGGACUAGGGUUGAAUUAUUUAAAAGUUGAGGAGUUGUUUGCGAAAUGUGUUUUUUUAAAGGACCUUUCUUUAAAACUCACAAAUAUUUUAUCUUUGGACUUUAGUCCUUGAAACAUAAAGUUUGUGCAUUUAGCCUAAGUGAGCUAGAAAGAUUGGCUAAGUUUGUUAUGGAACUUUAGAUGUGACUUUAGAGGCUAAGGUUUAGUAUGUGAACUUGUGAAGGGUACGAAGGACGAAAGCGCAUUGCGACGAAGCUAAAGAAUAGAAGGAAGCAAGCCGACGCGGAAAACAAAGAUGUGAUAGGAUUGGAGUUGCAGUUUAGGAAGAAAAUUGGCUAAGGCCCUAAUAGGUGUUGCUUCGAGUAGCUGUUGAUUGCUGCAAGGAGGUGAUUGGACUGAUUGACGAGAAGAUUUGCUUGGAGUGAGUGAACCGACCAAAGACUUGUAAAAUAAUAGUUAGAUGUAAGGCUGGAGCCUUGGGUAGAGAAGCUUACCGUCAUUGGUUGAAGCUCGUAAGGAAGAUUGUAAUACUUACUUUGGUCUUGGGUAGGUUCCGAUGCAUUACUCUUCUGCGAAUCUCCAGUGAGGGGAUUGUAGGAAGUAUAUUGGACUUAGGGUGUUAUCACA